AAUAGAUACCCUGGUAGUCCACGCCGUAAACGAUGAGUGCUAGGUGUUGGGGGGACCCCCCUCAGUGCCGUAGGUAACCCAAUAAGCACUCCGCCUGGGGAGUACGGUCGCAAGACUGAAACUCAAAGGAAUUGACGGGGGCCCGCGACAAGCGGUGGAGCAUGUGGUUUAAUUCGAAGCAACGCGAAGAACCUUACCAGGGCUUGACAUCCCGCUGAUCGGUGUAGAGAUAUGCCUUUCCCCUUCGGGGGACAGCGGUGACAGGUGGUGCAUGGUUGUCGUCAGCUCGUGUCGUGAGAUGUUGGGUUCAGUCCCGCAACGAGCGCAACCCUUGUUUCUAGUUGCCAGCACUUCAGGUGGGCACUCUAGAGAGACAGCCGGUGAAAGCCGGAGGAAGGUGGGGAUGACGUCAAAUCAUCAUGCCCCUUAUGUCCUGGGCUACACACGUGCUACAAUGGUUGGUACAAAGGGGCAGCGAACCCGCGAGGGGGGAGCCGAAUCCCAAAAAAACCAGGUUACUCAGUUCCGGAUUGCAGGCUGCAACUCG
rnacentral:rRNA from 1 species